UCGUUUCUUUUCCGUGCUGGGUAGAAUUCCAGUGUGGGAAUGCACCAAACCCCCACCCUCAGUUGUUGGAUAUGUGUUUAAGGAUGUCAGGCUGCAUUGCUAUAAACAUUGGGUUCUGGCCAAUUGACCGCUGAGGGCGCUGGGCAGAAGCCCCAGAUUUGGAGGCAAUCCCUAGUUCUCUGCUUUUCUGCUGUUGCAGAAACAAGCCUUCUCCCUCCCAGCAUAGCUGCUCUUUGCAGUCAAGGUGCCCAUGAGAGCCUGCUUCCCUGGCCUGCAGGGGUUCCCACUGUUUCCCCUCAGGAGCAGCUAGCUGGUGACAUCAGCAAGAGUCACCCUGAGGGAAUGGUCUGUCCCUCUAGGACCUGAUCCUUUCUUCCUGCCGGGGAAGUUUGUGUGCAGGCGGGGUGAGUCUCUGGUCUGCCUGCCACUGUUAUGGCCUGAUUUCUGCCUCUCUCCCCAAGGCUAGGCACAGGAAAGCUACACUAAAGUACUUGAUGGAUUCGCUUGUUCAUGGAAGGCAACCAACUGACCCCGACCUGCCUGGAACUGUUCUGAGUUUUCUGCAACUCAGAAAACCUCUCUGGGGUACUGGGCCAGCUACGAUGGUUGGCUCCCCUUCCCUGGUCCCAGCUACCAGAGCCCCACCACCCACACCCAGGGUGAGUCUGACAAUUCUGUCCCACAACUGUGUGGAGCCAGUGAUAGAGUCACCCAUACAGGGAGAUGCGAAGCCACAUUUUCACCAGCAGAAGAGCUGUGUGUCCAUCCCAUUCCUGGGUGUUAAUUGGGACUGUGUAGUUUUGUGGUUUGCUCCUCUUACAGAGUGUGGGUUGCUGCCAUCUCAGAAGAGCUGUGCAGCAGCAGUCGGCAAUCAUAGCAGGGCCAGAGGAGUCGCAGAGAGGGAGCAUCUUGUCUCAGCCACAUUAGGCUGCUGGAGGAAGACCCUGGCUCCUUGUCCCUGACCUUGGGGGCCUGGGGUGGGGCCAGCAUGUCAAAGCCUUAGCAACAGGCAGGGGAGGUUCAUUCCCUUGUGGAGCCCGGGGCCCAUGAACCUGGCCCUUCUGUGCAUGACUGGGAGAAAGCCUUAGGGAUGGGGCGUCACUUUUGAUUCAAAGGCACAACUUCACUUAUUCAUUUAUUUGUAAGUCCUUCAUCGAGCGGCGCUUGCAUGCCAGGAACCAUGCCCAGGGCUUGUACAGGGGACAUGGGUCCUCAGGAGGUGGCCCACAUGCAGGGUGUUUGCAUUCCAGAUGAGGCCACGGGACACACAUCGCUGUAUGCUGACUGAGCCAGGACCAGAGCAGGCUGUCCUGAAACAGGAGGUUCAGAG